CGGCGGACGGGUGAGUAACGCGUGGAUAACCUGCCUCACACAGGGGGAUAACAGUUAGAAAUGACUGCUAAUACCGCAUAAGCGCACAGUACCGCAUGGUACAGUGUGAAAAACUCCGGUGGUGUGAGAUGGAUCCGCGUCUGAUUAGGUAGUUGGUGGGGUAACGGCCCACCAAGCCGACGACCAGUAGCCGACCUGAGAGGGUGACCGGCCACAUUGGGACUGAGACACGGCCCAA
rnacentral:rRNA from 1 species